CUGGAUGGCUUGGAAACCACAAUCGUGUUUCCAGCAGCAGUUUCUCUCAGAAGAAACGCAAAAACCACCGAACGAGCCCUUACUUACAAAUGCAAUUUCAUAAUACCGAGAGCAUUUAUUCUAUGUUACAAUCAGAAGAAACUAAACCUGACACAUCAGAUCAUUUCCUUAUUAUUUUACAAACAGACAAAACCAGCACCAAAAUUCGCAGAACAAACAGUUCUGCCCAGAACGAACAAGGAGGAGAAGAGGCCAAGAAGGCAAGGCAAGCAGCACGUGCUGAUCGCUCCCCACCCGACCUGGCUAAUUGCAGAGCAGGAACCUGGUGAGCACGAGCACCCCGCAGGCGGCGGCGAAGAGCGCGAAGACGGCCAGGUCCCUGGCCUGCCACCUCCUGGGCCUGUCUGCUGCGCCCUUGGCCUCGGCGCGGAGGUUCUUGGCCCUGCGCAGCGCGUCCACCUCCUUGAGCAGGUCGAAGCGGAGGCCCUUGCGCUUGAGCUCGGUGACGCACCUGGCCAGGAGCAGCGCGUCCUCGCGCUCCCGCGCGAGGACGCGCUCCAGGACGGCCUCCGUGUCG
rnacentral:misc_RNA from 1 species